rnacentral:misc_RNA from 1 species
GUGGAGAAUGACUAAUUUUAGUUCAUCUCUUUACUGUUGGAAAUUCAAAAAAAAAUCCAACAUCCCUUGUGAUCUUCUUUGGAAUUUGAAAUUUAACUCUAAGCUCUGCAAAUCAUCGUUCCCAUAAAAUUUUAAUUACUGCAAACCUCUUAAUUACUGCAGAUUUGUCUUUCCAAUGGCACUUAAAAUUAAUUAAUUUUUAUUCUCUCAAUUAUCACCAUCAAACCCAAAGAAACCAAUUAACUUAUUUUCUUUCUUUCCCUUUCCUUCUUUCUUUCUCAAUUUUCCUCUCUUUUCUUGUCCUUCCUUUCUUUCUAACAUGGCGCGCCAUUCUGCUCAUUGUCGACAAGCCAUUGCCAUUCAUCUUGCUAGCAUCUCAUCCCAUUGCCGUUUAGUCCCACCUUUGCUGAUCAAUCCUUAUCGGUAUUGCUCUUCAUCACCAUUAGAUUUCAUCGGCCAUUGUUCAUUGGCUGAUUUUUCAAUGCCAUUCGAUCAUCUUCUUACUGUAUUGUAUCUCACCAACCCACCUAUCAUCGACGGCAUAGCUCCCAUGCUGGGAAGACUUCAUAUCCUUCCUUGCGCGACACUCUCUUUUACCUUCUUGGGUUUUCACUUCAUUUGAUCUUAGGUAGGUAAAGGUAGGUAAAUUUGGCAUUCUCCAUCACUUCUUUAUG